rnacentral:rRNA from 1 species
CAGCUGUAAACGAUGCAGACUAGGUGUUUGGACGGCCACGUGCCGUUCUAGUGCCGCAGGGAAGCUGUUAAGUCUGCCGCCUGGGGAGUACGAUCGCAAGAUUGAAACUUAAAGGAAUUGGCGGGGGAGCACCACAAGGGGUGAAGCUUGCGGUUUAAUUGGACUCAACGCCGGAAAACUCAUCGGGAGCGACAGCAGUAUGAUUGCCAGGUUGAUGACCUUGCUUGACAAGCUGAGAGGAGGUGCAUGGCGUAGUCGUGU